rnacentral:rRNA from 1 species
AUUGAACGCUGGCGGCAUGCUUUACACAUGCAAGUCGAACGGCAGCACGGGUGCUUGCACCUGGUGGCGAGUGGCGAACGGGUGAGUAAUGCAUCGGAACGUGCCCAUGAGUGGGGGAUAGCCCGGCGAAAGCCGGAUUAAUACCGCAUACGCCCUUAGGGGGAAAGCGGGGGAUCUUCGGACCUCGCGCUAUUGGAGCGGCCGAUGUCGGAUUAGCUAGUAGGUGAGGUAAAGGCUCACCUAGGCGACGAUCCGUAGCUGGUCUGAGAGGAUGAUCAGCCACACUGGGACUGAGACACGGCCCAGACUCCUACGGGAGGCAGCAGUGGGGAAUUUUGGACAAUGGGCGCAAGCCUGGCGCAGCCACGCCGCGUGAGUGAUGAAGGCCCGAGGGUCGUAAAGCUCUGUCGGGAGGGAAGAACGAAAAUGACGGUACCUCCCAAGAAAGCACCGGCUAACUCCGUGCCAGCAGCCGCGGUAAAGUC